AUGGCUAUUCUACAAAAGAAGACAGCCAUCGGUGCCAUGCUUGUCGACGUUGGUGUUGAUAUGCUUGUCGACUUGGGAGGAGCCUGCUUCACACCAAACCACCAUGCAGCCGUCGUAUUUGCCUGGAAAUCUCCAUGCGUUCCUCACGCAGAAACUCCGAGCACGUCAUUUCACGGCUCACGCGCCGCGCCUCCUCCACCACCGCCUGAGUCAGGACGUCGCGGCGGCUCCUCCUCCUCUUGCUUCUCCUCCUUGUGUCUCCUUGGCCGCCUUGGUCAUCCCAAGCUGGUUGACGAAGUGGCCUUGACACUUCCGCAUGCAGGCUUCGUGGUCCUUGCUGUUAUGACAGACCUUGAAGCAGUCAGGGACCACACCCGCCACCGUCGUCGCCCCAAGCUGGACCUCGACGGCGGCGGCCUCCUGUCCAGGCUUGUCGUUGAUGAGGCGGACGGGCUCGCUGUCGCGGCCCACCGCCGUGGCCAGGAGGAGCCCGACGACGAGCAGGCCUACGCACCACGCAACGCUACGCUUGUUGGAACCCAUGCCCAUGACCACCAUUGCUAG
rnacentral:rRNA from 1 species